GGGGGGAGCAAGCGUUGUUCGGAAUCACUGGGCGUAAAGGGCGCGUAGGCGGCCGAGUAAGUCGCGUGUGAAAACGGCCGGGGCUCAACCCCGUGUACUGCAUGCGAUACUGCAUGGCUUGAGAAAGGUAGAGGUGAGCGGAAUUCCCGGUGUAGCGGUGGAAUGCGUAGAUAUCGGGAAGAACACCAGUGGCGAAGGCGGCUCGCUGGGCCUUUUCUGACGCUGAAGCGCGAAAGCUGGGGAGCAAACAGGAUUAGAUACCCUGGUAGUCCACGCCGUAAACGCUGGGUACUAGGUGUUGGGAGAUUGACCCUUUCAGUGCCGACGCUAACGCAUUAAGUACCCCGCCUGGGGAGUACGGCCCGCAAGGCUG
rnacentral:rRNA from 1 species